ACGGGAGGCAGCAGUGGGGAAUAUUGGACAAUGGAGGAAACUCUGAUCCAGCGACGCCGCGUGAGUGAAGAAGUAUUUCGGUAUGUAAAGCUCUAUCAGCAAGGAAGAAAAUGACGGUACUUGACUAAGAAGCCCCGGCUAACUACGUGCCAGCAGCCGCGGUAAUACGUAGGGGGCAAGCGUUAUCCGGAUUUACUGGGUGUAAAGGGAGCGUAGACGGCAAAGCAAGUCUGAAGUGAAAUCCCGGGGCUCAACCCUGGAACUGCUUUGGAAACUGUUUAGCUAGAGUGCAGGAGAGGUAAGUGGAAUUCCUAGUGUAGCGGUGAAAUGCGUAGAUAUUAGGAGGAACACCAGUGGCGAAGGCGGCUUACUGGACUGUAACUGACGUUGAGGCUCGAAAGCGUGGGGAGCAAACAGGAUUAGAUACCCUGGUA
rnacentral:rRNA from 1 species